UACGUAGGGGGCUAGCGUUGUCCGGAUUUAUUGGGCGUAAAGAGCUCGUAGGCUGUUCGAUAAGUCGGGUGUGAAACCUCCAGGCUCAACCUGGAGACGCCACCCGAUACUGUCAUGACUAGAGUCCGGUAGGGGAGCGUGGAAUUCCUGGUGUAGCGGUGAAAUGCGCAGAUAUCAGGAGGAACACCAGCGGCGAAGGCGGCGCUCUGGGCCGGUACUGACGCUGAGGAGCGAAAGCGUGGGUAGCAAACAGG
rnacentral:rRNA from 1 species